CAGCACCUCAAGUGGUCAGGAUGAUUAUUGGGCCUAAAGCAUCCGUAGCCGGCGCUGUAAGUUUUCGGUUAAAUCUGUACGCUCAACGUACAGGCUGCCGGGAAUACUGCAGCGCUAGGGAGUGGGAGAGGUAGACGGUACUCGGUAGGAAGGGGUAAAAUCCUUCGAUCUAUUGAUGACCGCCUGUGGCGAAGGCGGUCUACCAGAACACGUCCGACGGUGAGGGAUGAAAGCUGGGGGAGCAAACCGGAUUAGAUACCCGAGUAGUCC
rnacentral:rRNA from 1 species